rnacentral:tRNA from 1 species
GUCAGGUUGGCCAAGCGGUCGAAGGCGCCAGACUUAAGUUCUGGUCCGCGGUUGUGGGCGUGGGUUCGAAUCCCACACCUGACA